rnacentral:rRNA from 1 species
GACGAACGCUGGCGGCGUGCUUAACACAUGCAAGUCGAACGGAAAGGCCCCUUUGGGGGUCCUCGAGUGGCGAACGGGUGAGUAACACGUGAGUAACCUGCCCUUGACUUCGGGAUAACUUCAGGAAACUGGGGCUAAUACCGGAUAGGAAUCCUUGCUGCAUGGUGGGGGUUGGAAAGCUUCGGCGGUUUUGGAUGGACUCGCGACUUAUCAGCUUGUUGGUGGGGUAGUGGCUUACCAAGGCUUUGACGGGUAGCCGGCCUGAGAGGGCGACCGGCCACAUUGGGACUGAGAUACGGCCCAGACUCCUACGGGAGGCAGCAGUGGGGAAUAUUGCACAAUGGGCGGAAGCCUGAUGCAGCAACGCCGCGUGCGGGAUGACGGCCUUCGGGUUGUAAACCGCUUUCAGCAGGGGCGAAGCUUGUGGUGACGGUACCUGCAGAAGAAGCACCGGCUAACUACGUG